rnacentral:lncRNA from 1 species
GCCCUUGGCAGCCAAUCAGGCCAUCCAUCUGAUUUUCUUUUGAUAUGAAAAAUCUAUAUGUGAACCAUAAGAUUAUAAUUGGGUGAUGGUGGAACAAGGGUUUAAUUAUAUCCAAUUUAUGAUCAAGACGUUAAUAUCAUCUGGCAUAGAAGCCUACUGAUACGCAAGCUUGUUUGCUCCAGAGAAGCAGGUAGGCUCCAUCUCAGACGAAUCAAGUGACAGUGGUGAUGGGUGC